CGAGCUGGUCAGCAGCUCAGUCAAUCAAAAUUUCAUUAACUGCAAGCAAAGCCUCUUACCCGCCAUCAACCACUUGCUUAACAGCUUCCUCUCCGCCUGCCGUACUCAAAGAAAAUUCAGAUAAUUCAGGGAAAUCCCUUUAAGCCCUUCCCCAUCCCUGACUACUUGCUGGUACAUCUGGAAUCAGCUCAAGUCCGAGAAGAAACAAAAUUGUCGGAAAGGGACUCUCUGUUGCAUGCGGAGGAAGAAGGACUUGGUGAACAGGCUCUCUGCGGUGAAGCACCUACACUCAAGGGCAGGUGCCACGGACCAGUCCAAGAUCCAGAAGGUCAAAACACCAUGUACAGCGCCAUGAAGCCUGAAAUUAUCUUGCAUCUUGCAUCUGGCGUCAUCAGGUGACCUCGCCAAAGCCGUGAGCGACGAGCAAAAGGCGGCCCUCAUGUGUGAGCGCCGACCAUUCCUGCAUCUCGCCCUCAUCUGCUUUGCAACGCACGCAAAAUAGGCAUUUCCCUGAAUUUGCAAGAACUUUCUAAUCACCAAGGGCCACCGCUUGGAACUAUUGGGAUCGACAGAGGCUGAUGAACCGACUGAAGACGCCGCUCCAUUAGGUUGAACAGCCCAUCUACUGCCCUUUUGCACAACCUUGCUUAGAACGAGAUCUCAUCCACCUGAG